GCCCAGAGCCAGAGGAAGAUGAAGGUGGCUGUGCUCAGCGUGGCCCUGCUCUUCUCCAUCCUGCUGUGCCUGCCAGCUCAGAGCCAGGCCGUCAUGGAGGGCAGCGGAGUGAUCUGUGCUGGGCAAAUUGGUGGCAUUGGUGAUGGCCAGUCCGGGAUCGUGGGAGGCAUUGGGGGCUGCAUCAAGAAACCCAAAGGCUUCGGAGUGCAGAGGGCUGAGGCCGUCAGGAUUUGAUCAUUCCUGGAGAGCUGCCCUGGGAGCCUGGGAAUGGCCCUGGAACAACUGAUAAUCGAUAAUUGAUAAUCAAUGAUUGAUAAUCAAUAAUCAAUAGUCAAUAAUCAAUAAACCCUUCAGC